rnacentral:rRNA from 1 species
AUUGAACGCUGGCGGCAGGCCUAACACAUGCCAGUCGAACGGUAACAGGAAGCAGCUUGCUGCUUUGCUGACGAGUGGCGGACGGGUGAGUAAUGUCUGGGAAACUGCCCGAUGGAGGGGGAUAACUACUGGAAACGGUAGCUAAUACCGCAUAACGUCGCAAGACCAAAGAGGGGGACCUUAGGGCCUCUUGCCAUCGGAUGUGCCCAGAUGGGAUUAGCUAGUAGGUGGGGUAACGGCUCACCUAGGCGACGAUCCCUAGCUGGUCUGAGAGGAUGACCAGCCACACUGGAACUGAGACACGGUCCAGACUCAUACGGGAGGCAGCAGUGGGGAAUAUUGCACAAUGGGCGCAAGCCUGAUGCAGCCAUGCCGCGUGUAUGAAGAAGGCCUUCGGGUUGUAAAGUACUUUCAGCGGGGAGGAAGGGAGUAAAGUUAAUACCUUUGCUCAUUGACGUUACCCGCAGAAGAAGCACCGGCUAACUCCGUG